rnacentral:rRNA from 1 species
GCUUAGCCCUAAACUCAAAUAAUCACACAACAAUAUUAUUCGCCAGAGCACUACUAGCAAUAGCUUAAAACUCAAAGGACUUGGCGGUGCUUUAUAUCCCUCUAGAGGAGCCUGUUCUGUAAUCGAUAAACCCCGAUAAACCUCACCGACCCUUGCUAAUACAGUCUAUAUACCGCCAUCUUCAGCAAACCCUAAAAAGGAACCAUAGUAAGCAAAAAUAUAGAACAUAAAAACGUUAGGUCAAGGUGUAGCCAAUGGGCCGGGAAGAAAUGGGCUACAUUUUCUAAAAUAGAACAUAUACGAAAAUUUUCGUGAAACCGAAAAUAGAAGGAGGAUUUAGUAGUAAAUUAAGAAUAGAGAGCUUAAUUGAAUUAGGCCAUGAAGCAC